ACUCCUACGGGAGGCAGCAGUGGGGAAUAUUGGACAAUGGGACGGAGCAUCAUCCAGCCAGCUGUGUGUAAGAAGGCCUUAUGGUUGUAAAGCACUUUAAGCGAGGAGGAGGCUACUGAGACUAAUACUCUUGGAUAGUGGACGUUACUCGCAGAAUAAGCACCGGCUAACUCUGUGCCAGCAGCCGCGGUAAUACAGAGGGUGCGAGCGUUAAUCGGAUUUACUGGGCGUAAAGCGUGCGUAGGCGGCCAUUUAAGUCAAAUGUGAAAU
rnacentral:rRNA from 1 species